rnacentral:lncRNA from 1 species
CAGUUAUACAGCUGCUAUGGGGCAGCAGUGGGGCAGCAGUGGGGCAGCAGUGGGGCAGCUAUAGGGCAGUUAUGGGGCAGCUAUAGGGCAGCUAUAGGGCAGCAGUGGGGCAGCUAUAGGGCAGCUGUGGGGCAGCUAUGGGGCAGCUAUAGGGCAGCUAUGGGGCAGCUAUAGGGCCGCUAUGGGGCAGCUAUAGGGCAGCAGUGGGGCAGCAGUGCGGCUGUUGCGCAGGCGUUCCGGCAGCUGUCGCACCGCUUCCAUGGCAAAGGCUCGGGGAAGAUGAAGACGGAGCGGCGCAUGAAGAAACUGGACGAGGAGGCGGUGAGUUUGGGGCCGGAAACGGCGAUUUUGGGCAAAGGGGGACUGGGGGAAAUGUGUGGGGCUGAGCCCCAUAGCUGUGGGUCUGGGGGUCCUGCUGUGGGUCUGGCCCCACACGUGUGGGUCUGGGGGUCCCACUGUGGGUCUGGGGGUCCCGCUAUGGGUCUGGCCCCACACUUGUGGGUCUGGGGUCCUGCUGUGGGUCUGGGAGUCCCGCUAUGGGUCUGGGGUCCCGCUAUGGGUCUGGCCCCACACGUGUGGGUCUGGGGGUCCUGCUAUGGGUCUGGCCCCACACGUGUGGGUCUGGGGGUCCCGCUGUGGGUCUGGCCCCACA